rnacentral:rRNA from 1 species
AUGGGAAGCAGUGAAGCAGAGACACCUGCUAAGGCAAACAAGGCAUCCGCACCUCAGGAGCAGCAGCCACCUGCUACUUCGAGUACUGCAACACCGACAGUUUACCCAGAUUGGACCAGCUUUCAGGGAUAUCCUCCAAUUCCACCACAUGGGUUCUUUCCCUCUCCUGUGGUGUCAAACCCACAGGGUCAUCCAUACAUGUGGGGACCUCAGCCUAUGAUGCCACCAUAUGGGACUCCACCAUAUGUCAUAUACCCUCCUGGAGGAAUUUAUGCUCACCCAUCAAUGCGACCGGGUGCACACCCAUUUGCUCCCUAUACUAUGACUUCUCCAAACGGCAAUCCUGAUGCUGCUGGAACUACCAUCACUGCUGCUACUGCUGGUGGUGAAACAAAUGGCAAAUCCUCUGAAGGAAAAGAAAAAAGUCCCAUUAAAAGAUCCAAAGGAAGUUUGGGUAGCUUGAACAUGAUUACAGGGAAAAACUGUGUCGAACAUGGUAAGACCUCAGGGGCAUCAGCCAAUGGAACCAUCUCUCAAAGUGGGGAAAGUGGAAGUGAAAGUUCAAGUGAGGGAAGUGAAGCGAAUUCUCAGAAUGAUUCACAACACAAGGAAAGUGGACAAGAACAAGAUGGAGAUGUCCGAAGUUCCCAGAAUGGUGUAUCACCUUCACCAUCCCAGGCGCAGUUGAAGCAAACUUUGGCAAUUAUGCAAAUGCCAUCAAGUGGUCCAGUGCCUGGCCCAACAACAAACUUGAACAUAGGAAUGGACUACUGGGCAAAUACAGCCAGCUCCUCUCCUGCAUUGCAUGGUAAAGUGACCCCAACUGCAAUUCCAGGGGCUGUGGCCCCAACAGAGCCGUGGAUGCAGGAUGAACGUGAACUGAAAAGGCAGAAAAGAAAGCAGUCAAACAGGGAUUCUGCUCGCAGAUCUAGGCUGCGCAAGCAGGCUGAAUGUGAGGAGUUGGCUCAGCGCGCUGAAGUAUUGAAACAGGAAAAUGCUUCACUUAAAGAUGAAGUGAGCCGGAUCAGAAAGGAGUAUGAUGAACUUCUGUCAAAGAAUAGCUCACUUAAGGAUAAUGUUGGAGACAAACAACACAAAACUGAUGAGGCAGGACUUGACAAUAAGCUGCAACAUUCUGGUGAUGACAGCCAGAAGGACACUAAUUGA